rnacentral:lncRNA from 10 species
AUGCGCAGGCCUAGGAGUGGGGCUGGCGUCCCGGGCGACCAGUGUGUUGUUGUUGGGUCUUAAUUCUAAAUUUGUCAGUGGCUCUCCUUGAAAUUGCUAAGUAGACAGUUGUAUAAUCCGUGACUAUUGACAUUUGCUUUCUUCUUUGGAACAUUUAAAUUUUAUUCUGUGAACUAGAACCUGAUAGUGGGCAUUCUGAGUUGUUUUUGACUAAGGUGAAUGUUCUUUCUUCAUUCUAAUGAUAUUUGGAAAUUCUGUUUUAUUCCUAGUUUGCAAGGAUUUGAAAAAAUACAUAAUAAAUUUUACUGUUUUUUUGUCAGCUGAACUUUAAGCUUUACGCUAUAAAGAUGAAGACUUUCCUCGUUUUUUUACUGUACUUUAUAAAUUGCCUUCCUGAUGAAUCAUGAAUGCACUCUUUUUAUAAACCUUAAGCAAGAUGAUGCGGUUUAAUACACUGCUGAAUUGGGGAGGCUAAUAAUCUGGCUCCGUUUUUUUUUACCAAGAUUACGCUACCCUCGUUAUGUGAGUUAGGACACUGUUUCUGGAACAUUAGGUAGAAAGCCUUAAAACUGGCUGGGCUUGGUGCCUUUUUGAGUGAAUGGAUCUUUGAUGUUUUGGAAC